AACUCUCAACCCCCCUGUUUUGUAACGAGACGGGCGUGGGCUUGGAACGUGGCUGCUGUCGGACUCUCAGAGACCGACUCGGCUGAAAUUAAUGAGCGACCACAUUGAAUAGAGUGACGGUUUGACUCGGCGUAAUAAUACUAUCUCGCUGAGGACGUUGCAUAAUUCAAAUAGGCGCUUCUAAUGCGAUAAAUUAAGC
rnacentral:misc_RNA from 1 species